GGCCUGCCCAGACUCUGCAGCUCGGGCAGAGGAGACCAGUCUUGGAUUCUCAAAUCCUCCCAGUCAGCACUGAACACAGGCCACUCUCCAUGGACUUAGGGCUUAUACUGGUUUUCUCUGUCCUUAUUUUAAAAGGUGUCCAGUGUGAGGUGCAAUUGCUGGAGUCUGGGGGAGGCUUAGUGCAGCCUGGAAAGUCCCUGAAACUCUCCUGUGCGGCCUCUGGAUUCACCUUCAGUAGCUACUGGAUGAGCUGGCUCCGCCAGGCUCCUGGGAAGGGAUUGGAGUGGGUCUCAACCAUUAAUAGCGGUGGUGGUAGCACCUGGUAUACUGACGCUAUGAAGGGCCGAUUCACAGUCUCCAGAGACAAUGCCAAGAACACUCUGUACCUGGAAAUGAGCAGUCUGAAGUCUGAGGACACAGCCAUGUAUUACUGUGCAAGAGACACAGUGAGUGAAUGCUACUGUGAGCUCAGACAAAAACACCUCUGUGGGGAACACAGGACCAGCAGGGGGCGCUGAGAGCACUUAGAGAUCUGGGUCA